ensembl:ncRNA C14F11.10 ncRNA
UUCUUUUUGCGGUGUCCUCCAUAACAAGUCACCGAAAUUCCCGAAGAAGUCGGCCGCGGCACGCAAUGUUUGAAUUUGAGCUUCCUCCCACCAUGUUGCGUUUGUUGUUCUUCACGAUAAAGGUACGACGAAAACAAUUCGUUAUU